AACCAGACGUUAGGUGCCGCUUUGGUCGGCGUUGGAAGAAUGGGCCAGGUCCAUCUGAAAAGCAUGAUAGACAGUGGUCGGCUCAACAUCCGGUGGUUGGUGGAUAUCCCAGCACAGCAUGGACUGAUGGCGGAACUGAUAAAAAGGCACAGGCUGACAGGCGAAACUGAGAUAUCAGAUAUCGAGAGCAGCCAAAAGGUGCUAUCGGAUCCUAGGGUUGAUGUCGUCAUAAUAUGUACGCCUACUCCUUCCCACUAUGACAUCAUCAAAAAGGCGCUAACUGCAGGCAAACAUGUGAUGUGCGAGAAACCGCUGACUUUAACAGUCUCUGAAACAAAGGAUUGUUAUGAAUUGGCAAAGAAACUGAAGAAAAUACUUUUUUGUGCUUAUAACCGGCGGUUUGACAAACAGUUCAAUACCCUGUAUCAAAGAUACAAGAGGGGCGACAUCGGGAAUCUUCGAAUGGUCAAAUUCACCAGCAGAGAGGACGGACCGGGCAAGGAAUACCUCCAAAACAACAGAAGUGGAAUUUUCCUAGAUAUGGCAAUUCACGACAUCGACUAUGUCUGCUGGUUAGUGGGAGAAAGACCCUCCUCUGUUUGUGCAUUUGGCUCCAUAUCCUCUGACAAUUCCGCGCUCUACAGAAGUGCUGAUGAUUUCGAUUGUGUGACCGCCAUUUUGAAUUUUCCAAGUGGUGUAAUGGCAAAUAUGGAAGAUACCAGAGCCGCAAGGAUUGGCUAUGAACAGAAGGUUGAGGUUCUUGGUACCAAAGGUCUGAUUCAGACACGGAAUAUGAAGGCCAGUGAGCUGUAUUCAAUUACCCAGAAUUCCUGUCAGUCGGAAGCUCUGCUGAGAUCAUCUGAAGAACGUUAUGUUGACAGUUUUCCGACAGAGCUAAAUCAUUUUAUAAAUUCCAUAGAAGGUAAAGAAGAAAAUCUUGUGUCUGCUGAGAGCUGUAUAAUAGCUAUGGAGGUCUCAGAGGCCUUAAGUGAGUCUCUGAAAACUGGAAGCAUCGUUAGGUUGUGAAAAACCCUGAUUUAAAAGAACACUGUCUUGAAGCCUUAAGAUUUUUUAAGUUGCGUUAAAUUUACAUCCCUCAAUUUUUUUCCAUCUUUAUCAUAGGAUAAUCAAUUGUAAGCAUUCUAAACUGCAUUUGGUUGCAUUGUUUGGUUUAAAUCAUCUGUAGAAGCUAUAAUAAAUAAUUUUUACAUUGUU
rnacentral:misc_RNA from 1 species